UAAAUGUGGCCUUUAUUAAAGACUGCGUCUCUUUGAAAAAAAAACAUUCUUGUUUAAACACGAAAUCGAACAGACGAAGAGCAAAGUCGUAUGAGAUGAAAAUAUUGACUGUGGUUGUUUUGUUCGCCAUGUUGAUUGCUGUGUCUGGACAAAGUGAUGGAGUAAACCCGUACACUUAUGUGUGCAGACAUGGGAGAUUUGACAGAAACUGUAUUGGUUGUCGUGAAUUGGGUUCAACAUGUUGCCUUCCAGAAAAUUGUGUCAGUGGAACAACUUGCAUAAGAGCCAAAUGCGAGUAAAAUUGUUGUACAGACUUCGAAUUAAACAUGAAAUAUUAAAUAAAAAACAAA